GACGAACGCUGGCGGCGUGCCUAAUACAUGCAAGUAGAACGAGUUGCGAACGGGUGAGUACUCGUAGGUAACCUGCCUCAUAGCGGGGGAUAACUAUUGGAAACGGUAGCUAAUACCGCAUACCAUCAGAUGUGCCCAGAUGGGAGUAGCUUGUUGGUGGGGUACCGGCUCACCAAGGCGACGAUCCCUAUAUGGUCUGAGAGGAUGACCAGCCACACGUGAACUGAGACACGGUCCAGACUCCUACGGGAGGCAGCAGUGGGGAAUAUUGCACAAUGGGCGCAAGCCUGAUGCAGCCAUGCAGCGUGUAUGAAGAAGUCCUUCGGGUUGUAAAGUACUUGCAGCGGGGAGGCGUUCCCCGCCCACGAAGCACCGGCUAACUCCGUGCCAGCAGCCGCGGUAAUAC
rnacentral:rRNA from 1 species